rnacentral:misc_RNA from 1 species
AAAAAAGAAUGAUGAAAUUAACUCUGAAGUAGCUCAGGAAGACUUGUGUGUUGAACGAAUUCGUCUUGAGAAUAUGGAACUAAGUGUUAGGAAUUUGCUAAGCAGUACUACAAUUCAAGAACCUACAUUUGAUAGGAUAAUAGUUGUUUACAGGGGAGUGAGUACCAAGUCAAAAACAGAACGAGGAAUAUAUGUGAAGCAUUUCAAAAAUAUUCCAAUGGCCGAUA